UAUUGCAACUUAAUGUCAAUUCAAAAUGAUUAGUAUAGGGCCGGGGAUUUAGCUCAGUGGUGCCGCCGGCUGCCUCGCAAGCUCAGGGUCCUGAGUUCGAUCCCCAGUACCAAAAAACAAAACAAAAUAAAAUGAUUAGUAUAAAUUUACUACCCAUUUAUUUCUGAAUUGUUCACUAUCAAAACGUUAAGUGGUUUAGGUGCAUUUGCAAUGUAAUAUGUUUUAUAAAUUAGUAUUACACAAAAUGAAAACAAUAUUACACACAAUGAUAAUGUGUGUAUUAAGAGGCCCAGAAACAUGGUUGAAGCCUUCCUGGGGUUCAAGCUCCUCUUAAAAAUCCUCAGAAUAGCAUGAUGAAAUUCCUGAAAUUAUAUCCCCCUACAUGCACAGAUUGUAAUUUUUAAGCAAAUAAAAAUUUGAAAUAAUCACUUCUCAAUAAUCAUUGCAAUAAAACCAUUUACCUUUCUUUGCAUUAUAUGUUGUGUGUAUUUAUACAGGGUGCCAAGGGCAGUGGAAGGGCAAAGGGAUCAGGCCACGUCUAUGACCCCUCCCUGCAUGCUGCCCAAGAAGCUGGGCUGCUUGCCCAUGGCAGCCAGUACCUCCCAGCCUCCCAGCACAUGCUCUCCACCUGCACUUCUAGACUCCGCCUGGCAGCUGUGCUGCAUGAACUGUGUCAGUGGUCAGUUUGUCUACUCAGGUGCCCACAUUUCAGACCUCUUCUCUGCUGCCUUGUACCCCUACAGGUCACUGCUGCCACUGGGUCCUGGGACCCCAGCCAGGCUGAAAGCCACGAGCCUGUGUGCUCUAGGGGCUGAAGCACCAGGAACCGUCAGGUUUUCCAUUCAGAGAACCAGCACUGAAUCCCAAAAGAAGGAAGUGAGGAGCACUGAGGGACACCAGGAAAGGCUUCGCUGAUGGUGUUUGCAGAAUGAGUUCACCUCAGAGGGGAGAAAAUCCCCGCGUCCAUGAAUUUCUCCAUCUGUCCCCCAUAUCUCAGGCCUGGUGAGUCCUGUGCAGGAUUUGGACCUUGUCACCAUCUGGUGCAAGAAGUCUUCCCCUGAAGACCAGGAUGCGGGAAGGAACUGGUGCUGGACAUCCCCUUUCAUGUCUUUAUGAGGUGUGGUAAAGAGUACAACAGAUGUUGCUGCUGAGUCCCAUCCAAUGGAAAAGCAGACUUGGGAAAACAUGGUGUGUGCUGAUCUACCUUAUUCACCAGAUCUGACACCAUCCCAGUUUUUAAUCCAUUCAUGAGAUCCAGACAGCCGCGAUAGAGAAACCAAAUGUACCCACAAAAGAAGACUUCCGGAACUGCUUCAGUAAGUGAUAAGAAUGAUGGGAUAAGUAGGGUCAAGGUGAGGGGGAAUAUCUCAAGGCGGUUUAAUUAAAUUUACAUACAUACCAUAUUACUCAAACUCGCCUCAUAAGACCAUGGGUGCCUUCAGUUUAUGUUCUUUGCUUCUUCUAAAAUGUACUUUAAAUACGUACAUAGAGUUAACUAAUGGUGUUUUUCAGGUGCAUGUAAUUGUAGCAGAGGAAAAAGACUGUAUAUUUUUUUCACAGUGUAUCCACCAUGGGUGGCACAUAAUUGGCACUAAAACAUGAGAACUUGGAAUGAAAUCCCUAUUUGUAAUUUUUUUUUUGAAAAAGCAAGUUAAUGUCCAGACUUGCUGUGAGGCACUGGAACACCAAAAUGUGCGUGCAUCCGGGUCCCAAGCCUCCAGGCACAUGCCACAGUUCACAUCAGACCUUACCUGUAAGACAAAGAUCCCAGUUGAGUAAGAAUUUGCAUACAGCAAGCCCAGAUAGUUAACACCUACAUUCAGAGACCCUCUUCCAAGCAUGGGACACGUGUGCUUUCACCAGCCACAUACCAUGCUGCUGGCCCUGCAACAUAAUUUCUAUAGGUUCAUCAGGCAGAUGUACACAGAACCUCACUGGUAUGUGGGUCACUGAUACAUGAGUUCCCACAUGGACACAUGGGGCAUUUGGUGCUAAAAAGUUUUAACUUUCUGAUUGGUGAAAAUGUUGUAUCAUUUCAAUUUAAAUUUUAAUUUCCUUGGUUGUUUGCAAAUGCACACCCUUUUAUAAUUCCCCAAGUUUUUCUACUUUCUGCAUUCUUGGAGGGUGAUUUGCAUGUGCUUGGUUAUUAUCACCACAGAUCUCCACUUGCUGCUUGCAGCUCUUGGGCCCAAGUGACCUUCCUGCCUCAGCCUCCCAAGUGACUUGAACUCCAAGGGCACAUCGUUACCUUUCAUUGUGCAUAGGAUGAUAAAAAUAUAUUGUGAAUGUUUAAAUAAAUGAAAUUGCCGUAGUAAAAGAUACAU